CACCUGGGUGCUGCUUUCUGUGAAAAGUCACAAGCCCUUUUGAGUGCAAAGCCCAUGAAGCAGAGGCGAUUCACAUUACCUAGGUGAUGAUCCCAAAGAUAUUUCACAAUGCUCUCUGUGGGGAGGUCCCAGGGAGAUAAGUCACCUCACUUGUGUGCUGGGCUCAGAAAACAUCACAAUCUUUUCUGAUGGAAGAGCCCAGGAAAGAAGGAAGAGCCACAUCACCUAGGUGCUGAACCCAGUGAUUUGUCAAAAUCUCUAUUGUGAGCAGAGUCCAGGCAAGUGAGGAGAGUCAUAUCUUUUAGGUGAUUGGUACAGAGAUAUUUCCCAAUGCCCCCUGUGCACAUGGGCCAGACCAAAGGCACACAUAAGCAACAUUACCUUGUUGCUUAGCCCAGUGAUAUGUCAUUAUGCUUCUUGAGGCCAGGGCACAAACAGGAUCAGACAGUCACAUCAUUAAGUACUAGGCUUAGUGAUAUAUUAUAACCUUACCUGUGGGCAGGGUCCAGUUAGGGGAAAAGCUUUACAUCACCUAUGUUCAAAGUAGAGAGAUAUAUCACAAUUCCUUUGAGGGAAGUGUCUAGGCAAAAUAGUCACAUCACCUAGGUGUUUGUCCCAGGUAUAAGUCACAAGAUAUCUCUGUGCUGAGCUCAAAAGAACUGUCAAAUCACUAAGGUUCUAGGUGGAGGUGUAUGUCACAAUUAUACCUGUGGGAAGGCCCAGAAAUGAGACCCCCAAUCCCACAUAUUUACCCACUCCAAGUAGAACAGUCAACAGCUCCUGUGAGUUGGGUCCAAGUACAUGAGUCACAAUCUCAACAGCGGAAUGCAUCCUCAUGUGAGAGCCCCAAUCCCUUCUGCAAGUUGUGUCCUGGUAUAAGACAUCAUCCAGCCACUUGUCCAGGGAGCACAUCCCAAUCCAGUUCCUGACCAGACAGGGAUCUGCCACUCUUUCCAGCUGGGUGACCUGGUAUAUGUUAAAAAGUUCCAGAAGGAAGGACUCACUCCUGCCUGGAAAGGACCUCAUACUGUUAUCCUCACCAUGCCAAAAGCUCUGAAAGUAGACAGCAUUCCUGCUUGGAUUCAUCACCCUCACAUCAAGAAGACCAACAAAGCCCAGCAAGAAACAUGGGUCCCCAAGCCUGGGACAGGCCCCUUAAAACUGUGUCUAAGUCGACUGAAGCC
rnacentral:lncRNA from 1 species